rnacentral:lncRNA from 1 species
UCGAUACCAUUAUGUUGGUGCAAGUUAUAAUCUUCAUCGUUGUAUAACCCCCUUUCCUUUCUUUUCGUAGUUCCAAACUACGACUGCUCUGAUUUUCUCAUUACAGAGUGAGAAUACGUAGGCACGAGGAUGCGAAUCCUUGGCGAGCAUACUUCUAAUUAUUCCUCUUUCGCCUUAGGGCAUCACCCAUAUCUUUCAUAAUCCAUUAUCUACCUUCGAUCAUAAGCCGUCCACCUAGUGACAUAUUAUACCUUU